rnacentral:rRNA from 1 species
UCGCCUGUUUAUCAAAAACAUGUCCUUUUGUUUAUAAUUUAAGGUCUGACCUGCCCACUGAAAUUUAUUUUAAAGGGCCGCGGUAUUUUGACCGUGCAAAGGUAGCAUAAUCAUUAGUCUUUUAAUUGAAGGCUAGAAUGAAUGGUUGGACGAGGUAUUGACUGUCUCUGUACAAAUGAAAUUAGAAUUUAACUUUUAAGUGAAAAGGCUUAAAUUUUAUUAGAGGACGAGAAGACCCCAUAGAGCUUUAUAUUAAUUUUAUUGUAAUUUGUUUAGGGGUCAUUUUAUUAUAUUAAAUUUAUUAUUUUGUUGGGGUGACAGGAAGAUACAAUAAACUCUUUUUAAUUAAUUAAACAUUUAUGAAUGAAUUUUUGAUCCAUUUUUAGUGAUUAUAAGUCUAAGUUACCUUGGGGAUAACAGCGUAAUCUUUUUCGAGAGUUCUUAUCGACAAAAAGGGUUGCGACCUCGAUGUUGGAUUAAGGGUAAUUUUGGGUGUAGAUGUUCAAAAUUUAGGUCUGUUCGACCUUUGAAUCCUUACAUGAUCUGAGUUCAAACCGGAGA